rnacentral:rRNA from 1 species
AGUAACUGAUGCGGAUGCCCGGUGCUUUGUGAUAUACUUUCUAAGAGUCGAGUUGUUUGGGAAUGCAGCUCAAAUUGGGUGGUAAAUUCCAUCUAAAGCUAAAUAUUGGCGAGAGACCGAUAGCGAACAAGUACCGUGAGGGAAAGAUGAAAAGCACUUUGGAAAGAGAGUUAACAGUACGUGAAAUUGUUGGAAGGGAAACACUUGACGUCAGACUUGCGUUUCGGAGUUCAGCCGCAAGGUGUAUUCUUCGAUUUGCAGGCCAGCAUCAGUUUUCGGGGGUGGAAAAUCGUGGUUUGAAGGUAGCAUUUUCGGCUGUGUUAUAGCUUUCCACUGGAUUCAUCUUUGGGGACUGAGGAACGCAGUACGCUUUUUGCAAGGCUUUCCAGCUUUUCGUACUUAGGAUGCUGGUGGAAUGGCGUUAAAUGACCCGUCUG